rnacentral:snRNA from 1 species
AUCGCUUCUCCGCCUUUUGGCUAAGAUCAAGUGUAGGAUCUGCCUUUAUCAGUGUAGUAUCUGAAACGUUUUCUAUCCGAGCCCAAUACAUGAAAUAGAUUUUUGGAGCAGGAAGAUGGAAUAGGAUCUUGCUCGUCCACUCCACGCAUCGACCUGGUACUGCAGUACCUCCAGGAAUAGUGCAUCCUUU